rnacentral:lncRNA from 1 species
AGAACUGACUUGAGCGUCGGAGGGUCUUGUCGGAGCAACCCCACCUCCGGUUUAGACUUCCUUUGCAGGUCCCGGCGGCGACCGCGGCUUCCCCAACUCCAGCUUCUCCGGCGCAGGCAGAUUUUUGCACCAACAAUUCCGAUUCUAAUUUUAAUUCCAGUCAUAAACUAAUUGCAUUGGGGAAUAUGGUUAACAUAAUUCCCAUUCCAAUCUAUUUCUAUUUUGAUUCCAGUCACGAACUAAAUACAUUAGAGAAUAUAGUUAUUAUGGUAUAG